GGGGUUUUAGCUCAGCUGGGAGAGCGCCUGCCUUGCACGCAGGAGGUCAACGGUUCGAUCCCGUUAAGCUCCACCA
rnacentral:tRNA from 9 species